UUUUGACGAGUUGUAGCUGGCCUUCCGAGGCAUGUGCACGCUCUGCUCAUCCACUCUACCCCUGUGCACUUACUGUAGGUUGGCGUGGGCUCCUUAACGGGAGCAUUCUGCCGGCCUAUGUAUACUACAAACACUUUAAAGUAUCAGAAUGUAAACGCGUCUAACGCAUCUAUAAUACAACUUUUAGCAACGGAUCUCUUGGCUCUCGCAUCGAUGAAGAACGCAGCGAAAUGCGAUAAGUAAUGUGAAUUGCAGAAUUCAGUGAAUCAUCGAAUCUUUGAACGCACCUUGCGCUCCUUGGUAUUCCGAGGAGCAUGCCUGUUUGAGUGUCAUGGAAUUCUCAACUUAUAAAUCCUUGUGAUCUAUAAGCUUGGACUUGGAGGCUUGCUGGCCCUUGCGGUCGGCUCCUCUUGAAUGCAUUAGCUUGAUUCCGUACGGAUCGGCUCUCAGUGUGAUAAUUGUCUACGCUGUGACCGUGAAGUGUUUUGGCAAGCUUCUAACCGUCCAUUAGGACAACUUUUUAACAUCUGACCUCAAAUCAGGUAGGACUACCCGCUGAACUUAAGCAUAUCAAUAGCCGGAGGAAGA
rnacentral:rRNA from 1 species